GUGGCGCAAUAUGCGCGGUAAUGAGGCUGGCGCAGGAGGGCGCAGGAUCAGGUCGCGUCGCGGUUGGUCGUAGUUCGUCGAGCGCGUUCGCGGGAUUCGAGUGCGCGAGCUUGUGCGAACCGGAUAGACGCGCGAUGAGAAUGGGAUUGCGAUGGUACGACAAUGAAUCGCGUUGCGUAUCGCGAUCGCGGUCGACCGCGUAGCUGCUCGAGUGCGAUUAUAGAGCCGGAGGUGGACUUGACCGGCGCGAACACAGCGUCGAGGCGUUGCCACCUCGCUCUCUGACGAAUCGUGGGACGAAUCGUCGUCCUUCCGGUGAGAAAGAGAGGGCAGGAGGGAGGGAGAGAGAGAGAGAGAGAGAGAAAGAAAGAAAUAGGGAGCUGCUCCUCUUCUUCCUCUCCUCGCCGGAGAACAAGACGCGAGGAGACCUCCGUCGCGCGAGCUGCUUUUUUUGGCGAGCAUCGCCGAAAUGAGCCAGACUAGCCGCGGGCGAGCGAAUCGCAUCACCAAUCGUACGAACGGCCCCGUCAGCUGAUCGUUUAUCGCACAACGAAAUGUGAGGUAGCGAGCAUUGCUUACCUACCUACCUACCUAUCUAUCUAUUACCUACCUACCUACCUACCUACCUACCUACCUGUCUAUCUACCUACCUACCUAUCUACUUACUUAUCUAUCCACCUAUCUAUCUAUUACUUAACUAUCCAACUACCUAACAUCGAGCAAGAAGCGUGCCGCUUCGCGCAUCGCGGCUUCAAUUCACCGCGCGGCCAGCCAUCCCCCUCGCGUGCAAAUUGAGACUAAGCGUGAUCUCGCGCGCGCGCGAAGUGCGGGAAGAGCGGGGCACUUAGCCGGGGCACUGGCCGGUAUAGAGUUUACAUGGGAACAUGGGGAACAAGAAUAGCUGUUGCGUCUACUCCAGUCCACAGGUUGGUCGCAAGGAGGUCGGGCCUGAGUGCGCCACGCGUAACCUGGAGGAACACCUGCCGGAAGGCGGGAUUAGCGUUAAUAAUUUGCAACAUAUCAGUGAACGUGAACCGGAGGACUGGGACUCGGAUCCGUCGUUACACCCGUGCGCGGGAACUAUAUUUAUGGAGCGUUCCAAACAAGCUAUUGAAAAUGGCAUGGUAAGGAAGAAGAGUCAACAUCAAAUAGCAGACACAAGGCCUUUGAAGAAGAGUAGCAGCUGCAGUACAAUAUACCUAGAUGACAGCACGGUUUCACAACCUAACUUAAAAAAUACCGUCAAAUGCGUUGCCUUAGCCGUUUAUUAUCAUAUUAAGAAUAGAACUUCGCAGCGACAGAUUGAUAUAUUUGAUGAGAAACUACAUCCAUUAACGAGGGAUGGUGUUUCAGAGGAUUACGACAAGCAUAAUCCAGAGCAUAAGCAGAUAUAUAAAUUUAUAAGGACUUUGUUUAACGCCGCUCAGCUCACUGCUGAAUGUGCCAUCAUAACGUUGGUUUAUCUCGAACGCCUACUUACUUAUGCGGAGAUCGACAUAACACCCGCUAACUGGAAACGUAUAGUAUUGGGAGCUAUUCUAUUAGCAUCUAAAGUCUGGGACGAUCAGGCAGUGUGGAAUGUGGAUUACUGUCAAAUUUUAAAGGAUAUCACAGUGGAAGAUAUGAACGAAUUAGAGAGACAAUUCUUGGAGAUGUUGCAAUUCAACAUAAAUGUUCCUUCGAGUGUAUAUGCCAAAUAUUACUUCGAUCUUCGUACACUUGCGGAAGCGAACGAAUUAACAUUCCCUAGCGAACCGCUUAGUAAGGAAAAGGCGCAAAAGCUAGAAGCUAUGUCCAGAGUUUAUGAAGAUAAGGUCACAGCCGAAGCCUUACGUACCGGUAUUAAAAAGUGGUCCAGCUUAGACAAUGUAUGCAUAGGCGGACCUAGACGUAGCAUCGCUAUUUUAUCUUAAACAUAUAUGUAUGGAUAUAGGUGGAUAUAAACACAGACAGCAGUGAUUACUGCUCAGAUUUUAAAUGGAGAUUCCUACUAUCUGGGACCUUAUAAUGUGGAUAUAACGAAGAAUGUGAGGCGUAUUGACGAAACAAAGGAUGAGAGAGAGA
rnacentral:misc_RNA from 1 species